GUCUCGGAUAGCUUAACCGGUAGAGCCUUUGGCGCGUAACCAAAUAGUCCCGGGUUCGAAUCCCGGUCUGGGCU
rnacentral:tRNA from 1 species